GACGAACGCUGGCGGCGUGCUUAACACAUGCAAGUCGAACGAAGUGGCGAACGGGUGAGUAACGCGUAAUCAACCUGCCCUUCAGAGGGGGACAACACUUGGAAACGACUGCUAAUACCGCAUACUGAAGGAGGGGUAUGCGUCUGAUUAGCUAGUUGGAGGGGUAACGGCCCACCAAGGCGUUGACCAGUAGCGGGGCUGAGAGGAUGAAAUGCCAAAGUGGGACUGAGACACGGCCCAAACGCCUACGGUAGGCAGCAGUGGGGAAACAUCCGCAAUGGACGAAAGGCUGACGGAGCGACGCCGCGGGAGUGAUGACGGCCUUCGGGUUGUAAAGCUCUGUUAAUCGGGACGCGGUACCGGAAUAGAAAGCCACGGCUAACUACGUGCCAGCAGCCGCGGUAAUUC
rnacentral:rRNA from 1 species